GCCGGGCGAUAGAGUGGCCAGUCGGCGGCCUCCGCCCGCCCGAUGCGGGCCUUGCUGCUUGCCCCCAGUUCGGCCCGGGUGUGCGGCCCC
rnacentral:tRNA from 1 species